UUCUUGGUCCUUUUUAAAGGGGCGAUUAGGAAAAGAGAAAAUUCAUGAGAAAAAAUAUCCCUCUAAUUUACAAUCUCCAUUUCCUUUUGCAGUCCGAGCUCUUAAUUGAGCCACGAUACCCGUUAUUUGGAGGCUGGAAAGCCACCUAUGUCAUUGGAUAUGGGGUUCCAUUGAAUGAUUUUCUUUAUGAAUCCACUAAUGGUGAUUGCUACCUAAAUUAUAGUUUUGGGUGCCCUCUUGCUGAGACUGUUGUUGACAAGCUGACCAUCAAGGUGGUCCUGCCGGAGGGUCCAAGAACCCAUUGUGGUUCCUUUUCCUUUUGAAUAGAGAUUAGAGAAAAAGUACUCAUACCUUGAUGUUGUAGGAAGGACAGUGAUGGUCCUGGAAAAGAAAAAUGUAGUUCCUGAGCACAACCAUCCUUUCCAAGUUUACUACCAGUUCAAUCCAAUUUUCAUGCUUGCCGAGCCACUGAUGUUGAGUGGUGAUGUGAGAUGUGAGAUCGAC